rnacentral:tRNA from 1 species
GAGGGUAUAGCUCAGGGGUAGAGUGCGUGCUUGGCAUGCAUGAGAUCCUGGAUUCAAUCCCCCAGUCCCGCCA